UUUAUUCAUAAUGCAUCAAGAGUCAAAUUCACAGAAUCAUCAAACACAUUCUUAUGGCUCAAAAGCUUAAAUCUUUUUGUUUGUUUCUUUUAUCUAUUUUUCUUGCAAACUGACAAGUUCAUCUGCACCUCUUUGCAAUGUAAGAUGCAAUUUAGUUUCUUUAUUGAUAUAGCAUCAAAGAUCUCUAAUUACAUAAAACAAAGUAAAAAGAAAAUGCAACAAGACAGGUGAUCCCUUGCGGUUAGAAGGAAGUUCUGAUUGUGUGUUAGUGGAUGAGGAAGUGGAAGUGUGUACUAUUAAGAAUCUAGACAACGGGAAACAGUUUGUGGUGAACGAGAUUCAAGAAGAGGGUAGUACAUGGAAACAGGUGAAGGAAGUGGGGACCGACACGCAGAUGACAAUGGAGGAGUUUGAGAUGUCUGUGGGACACUCUCCCAUUGUUCAGGAGCUUAUGAGAAGACAGAACGUGGAGGAUUCUGAUAACAACAACAACGCAUCAACCAAAACAACAAAGGAUGAUGAAGAGAGUAAAGAUAAUAAUAAUAAUAACACAUCAAAGUCUAAGAAGAAAGGAAGCUGGUUCAAGAGCAUAAAGAGCGUUGUGACUGGUUACAGCAAAGAGAGACGAAGCAGUGACGAUAAAGACACGUCAUCGGAGAGAGGCGGUCGGAGGUCGAGCUCAGCUACGGAUGACUCUCAGGAAUCUUCUUUCCACGGGCCGGAGAGAGUUAGGGUCAGACAGUACGGGAAGUCUUCCAAAGAGCUCACGGCGAUGUACAAGACGCAGGAGAUUCAAGCGCAUAACGGCUCUAUCUGGAGCAUUAAGUUUAGUUUGGAUGGUAAGUAUCUCGCUAGCGCCGGCGAGGACUGCGUCAUUCAUGUUUGGCAAGUGGUUGAGGCUGAGAAGAGAGGAGAGUUGUUGCUGGAUAGACCGGAGCUGUUGCUUUUGGCUAAUAGUAAUGGAUCUCCGGAACCGACUACUAUGUCGCCGAGGAGAAGAGGGAGGAGUUCUGUGAGUAGAAAGUCGUUGAGUUUGGAGAACAUAUAUGUUCCAGAUUCUGUUUUUGGGCUCUCGGACAAACCCUUUUGCUCCUUUCAUGGUCAUCUGGAUGAUGUUCUUGAUCUUGCUUGGUCCAAGUCUCAGGAUUUGCUGUCUGCAUCGAUGGAUAAGACAGUUCGUUUGUGGAGCUUGUCUACACACACUUGCUUGAAAGUAUUCUCUCACAGUGAUUAUGGUUAGUAGCUAAUAUUAAUUUAAUCUGUUUCUUUCUGUGCUUAUCUAAAUAAUAAUUUGCUCUAUUGAUUGGGACAGUGACUUGCAUUCAAUUUAAUCCGGUUGAUGAUAGAUACUUCAUCAGCGGUUCGUUAGAUGCAAAAGUUCGCGUGUGGAGCAUUCCGGAUCGGCAAGUAGUUGACUGGUAUGAUCUUCACGAGAUGGUCACUUCUGCUUGCUACACUCCAGACGGUCAGGUAAACUAAAUCUGCCAUGUCAUUAUUAUCUGAAGUCAGUAUCUUUUUGGCUUUAAACAGUUUUCUAAUUUUCUAAAGAAUGUGUUGAAACUUGAAGGGUGCGUUGGUUGGUUCAUACAAAGGUAGCUGUCGUCUUUACAGUGCAUCAGGUAAAUGAAUGAAGUUUGUUAAUGUGAUUUUGAUUUUUUACCGUUUCCUAAUGCGUUAACAUUAAGUGACGUGUUGUUUUAUUUUUCCCCAGAUAACAAGCUGCAACAGAAAAGCCAGAUAAAUUUACAGAACAAGAAGAAGAAAGCUCAUCAGAAAAAGAUAACUGGUUUCCAGGUAAUGAGAGAAUCUCACUUCUUCAGGAGCAAAAUCUGAGGGGCUUUGUUCAUGAGACGGCACUAAAAGUUGCUUGCUUGUGUCUCAUUUCAUCCCAUAGUUUGUGCCUGGAAGCUCAUCUGAAGUGCUAGUCACAUCUUCGGACUCUCGGAUCCGCGUUGUUGAUGGAACUGAUCUAGUUACCAAACUCAAAGGUAAAACAAAAACAAACAAAGUUUCAAGCUUUGUCUUCUGUUUACUUCAUUCGCAAGCAAAAGUAAUCAAUCGUUUUUUUCACUAUUUGACAGGGUUUCGAAACACGAGCAGCCAAAUCUCCGCCUCAAUAACAGCAGACGGCAAAUACGUAGUGUCAGCGAGCGAGGAUUCAAACGUGUACAUAUGGAAGUACGAAUCCCCUGCUUCUCGACCAAGCAAGAGCAACAGCAGCAGCAACAAGAACGUCACAGUCACAAACUCGUACGAGCAUUUCCACAGCCAAGACGUCUCCGCAGCCAUCUCAUGGCCCGGGAUGGCCUCAACAGAGUCUUGGGGAGCCACCCAAAACAGAGCCAACAACUUAGACGAAGUCUCCACAGCUAACCAUCCACCCACACCUGUGGACCAGCCAGGGACAACAACUCUGGACCGACUCAACAGUCCACGUAACGGGAUCAUUUCGAGCGCCACAAACGGAUACUUCUUCGAUAGAAUGUCAGCGACUUGGCCUGAGGAGAAGCUGAUGUUUGGGAGGAACAGAAGUGGGAACCGUCUGAGUACGGAUUUGUCUAACUCAGGGAACGUGUCGGCUUCUUGGGGGAUGGUGAUAGUCACUGCAGGUUUGAGAGGAGAGAUUAGAGCGUUUCAGAACUUUGGUUUGCCCAUAAGGAUUUGAUAUUAUAAAGAAAAAAAAAAGAUAAAAAAGUGUACAGAGUGGUAAAGAAAAAAAAAAUCGAGUGAGGUUUGUAAUAUUACUUAGCGAGCUUUUUUUUUCUUCAUUCGAUUUUUUUUUAAAACUGAUUUGUUACACACAGGGUAUACUGAUCUUUUGUAGAGUUUACAGACACGAACAGCUGGUUUUUUUUUGUAGUCAGACCUCAGGCCCAUUAAAAAGUUAGGCCCAUAUUGUAUUAACGAAACGUUGUCGUUUUGGUGAUCGUGAAGUGAGUUAAAGGCAGCUUUGUCUUUUAGGUUUUGACUUGUCCUAAAACCCUAGAAAGAGUUUAGCGCUGUUUCUGUUUUAGAGAAAAAAGAAUGGGGAGGAAGAGAAAGCACAGCGAGGCGGAAGCGGCGGCUCCGGUUAAGGACGAUUCUGCUCCGGAGAGACCUAAAAGAACUCUGUUAGGUUGGAAAGAUAAGAAAGAAGAUGUGGAGGAAGCUAAGGAAGCGUCUGCUCCGUCUGCGCCUGGUUUCAGGAAUAAAGAGAAGGUUCUCGUUACUUGUUCCCGUCGGAUUAGUUUCAGGUGAAGCGAGUUGAGAUUUGAGUUUGAGUUUAAUUUCCUUUGAUGGUGUAGAAUAAUAAUAAAGUAUCUGUUUUUUGUUUGUUUGUGAAGGUAUCGGCAUCUGAUGUUGAACAUAGUUUCACUUCUGCCUCAUUGUAAGAAGGAUAGUAAGGUUGAAGCUAAGAGCAGUAAAGGCGCGACUCUUAAUGAGCUUGUUGAGCUUAAGGGCUCUUCUUCCUGCUUGUUCUUCGAGGUAAAGUUUCCAUCUUUUGUUGGUACCUACUUGGUCUGAUAUUAAGAGGCUUUUAUAAUCAAGUUUGAUACAUAGAAGAUGGAACAAAUAUUGUACUGAUGAUAUUCCUUUGUCACGCUACUCUUAAUGUCUGGUUUUGCUUGUAAUUGUAUGAAGUAGUAAGCUGUCAAAAUCUUGAUUUUUCCAAGAAACUGAAGUUGUUAUGCGUUUAUUUUGUUAUGGACUUCAGUGUAGGAAGCAUAAAGAUCUUUACAUGUGGAUGGUCAAGUCCCCUAGUGGACCUUCUGUUAAGUUCUUGGUUAAUGCUGGUAACUUCUCCAACCCACCUUGUACAUUGUUUCAGAAUUAGCUGGUGGAGCUUAUAUGUCUUUGUUCGUCUCUCAUGUUUCAAUAAUUUUCUAUAUGGUGAAGUUCACACAAUGGAGGAGCUGAAACUCACAGGAAACCAUCUGAAAGGGUCACGCCCUCUCUUGACGUUCUCGUCCAAUUUUGAUAAAGAUGUACACUGGAAACUCUUGAAAGAGAUGUUAACACAGGUCAUUCUCCCAUUUUCACUCCCUUAUGUUCCUUGUUAGCUUAGUUUGUACCUCAUGCUAAAUAGUUUUCUCUUCCUAUCUCUUGCAGGUAUUUGGAAUCCCCAAGGAACACAGAAAGUCUAAACCUUACCAUGACCAUGUUUUUGCCUUCUCCAUUGUCGAUGACCAUAUCUGGUUCCGUAAUUACCAGGUUGGUUGCAUCUCAGAGAUCAACAGUUGCUGUUACACUUUGAUUCAGUGUGGUUUUUAACUUAGUCAAUGUCUGUUUUUAUCUUCUGUUUCAGAUAUCUGUACCUCAUAAUGAGGCAGACAAGGUUGCGCGAGGUGGUCUUGAUAAAAUGACUCUUGUCGAGGUCUGGCUUUACCUAUUAGUAACAAUAAUUUGCGUAGUUGUGAUUCGUUAGUGUUGAUUGAAAUGAAAAUCUGAUGACAGGUUGGUCCAAGGUUUUGUUUAAACCCGAUUAAGAUCUUUGGAGGAAGCUUUGGAGGUCCAACCCUUUACGAGAACCCAUUCUACGUAUCUCCAAACCAGGUACUGUGUUCUCUCUUCAGCUUGGUCAUAACGAGAAGUUGAUUCACAUAUGAUUUUCUAUGUCAAAGGCUUAUUUUUUUCAAUUUUUUUCAUCAGAUCCGAGCCUUGGAGAAAAGGAAUAAAGCAGGCAAGUUUGCAAAGAAGAUCAAAGCAAAAAGGAGGAAAAAGAUGCAUGAGAUUUCAAACCCACUGGAGCCUGAUGAGUUUGCAGACAUGUGGAAGGAUGAUGAAUGAUCAAGUUCCAUCAAGUUUUUCUUGUUGUAAACUUCUAAAUUCACACAACCAUUACAUUUUUUUUUGUCCUUUUUACUGUUCUCGACUCUGUUUUUAUCUCUCCCUCUUAUGGAUCAAAAGUUGAUAUUUUUCUUGCAAAUUAGUGUGUUUAAACAAGUAAAGAGUCCAACUAAAUCUCUUUGCAAAAAUUGUAGCAAAAGUAUAAGCAAUCAGCACCCAAAAUUCACAGAAACAAUACAUCUUCAUGUCUUCAGUCUUCACUGUUCCUUUGGUUCUUUCUCUCUUAUGUUAUCAUCAAAAGUUGAAUUUUUGCAAGAUGCCAAAGCAAUUUAGUUUCUUUAUUCAUAAUGCAUCAAGAGUCAAAUUCACAGAAUCAUCAAACACAUUCUUAUGGCUCAAAAGCUUAAAUCUUUUUGUUUGUUUCUUUUAUCUAUUUUUCUUGCAAACUGACAAGUUCAUCUGCACCUCUUUGCAAUGUAAGAUGCAAUUUAGUUUCUUUAUUGAUAUAGCAUCAAAGAUCUCUAAUUACAUAAAACAAAGUAAAAAGAAAAUGCAACAAGACAGCAGAAAGAACAACAACUCAAAAAGAGUUAAAAUAAAAUAAAUUAACGAGAAUUAGCAAGAGCCCAGUUAGCUUCACUUCCUCUCCUAGGAAUCCCAUUAACCUUAGAACAAGCAUCCACUUUGAAAUUAGCUCCACAUAACACCCCUUCACUAUCAAUCCUCGGCAUAGCCUUCAUCUCGUUCCUCGGAUGCUCAAAGCUCUUAAGCCCUGUCUCACUGUGAAACAUACACCCUGCAACAAACACAAAACAUCAAACAAACACUUCAGAUCUAACUCACAAGUCACAAAUGUUGUUUCUUUCAUUUUGUGUCCUUUGCCUUACCAGAAGGGAAAGGAGCAAAAGAUUUAGCACAUCCUUGCUUUAUAAUCUUCACAUCAUCAGACAUCACAACAGAUCCAUCGCCAGAGAUCCCCCAGUAAAGACUCUCUCCUCCGUCAGAGCUCAGAGCCGAGAAAACAGAGGAGGUCUGAG
rnacentral:lncRNA from 1 species